CCAUUCUCGUGCCGUCUAGAGCAAAUUCACAAGGUUACAAGGACGCCACGUUACCUGCAUUCAGACCGACGCAUAACCCUUCUUUGUAAGAGGCGUCUGUUCCACUCUCAUUCAACACCGAUUCGUCACCAACCGUGUUUGAGACUCCGUUUCCCACCACCGCUUCCCUCUUUUUCCUCCUCACUCUUUCUAAUAGCGAUUCCGUUUUUCUAUAUUGAUGUCGUUUUUUCUGUUUCAUUGAUCACUACCACGCCUUCUUCCACCAUCAAUUUCGGUCGAUGUUUCUUUCUAAAUCCAUACAAAAAAGCAGAUGAGGAAAAGGGUUGAUUUUAUGUUUCCCCCCAACGUCACAUGUUGGAUCAUCCACGCUCGCUCCAUCUAUCAUCUGCUCUCCACUGGUAUGUGGUUUUCAUUUUUAUAUUCAUUUUAAUUCUCUUUAUGGGGUUAUCUCUGCACUCCUCUUAGUCCUUAAAUUAUCAUGUUCUGAUGUUUGAUUUCCUUAAGUUAUUUUUUCUAUAAAAGUCCUACGUUUGCAAAAAAUCAUACAUGUAGAAACAGGAAACUUUGUGGAUGUAGAAACAAGAGACUUUGGGAACUGUUAAUUUCAGAUUCAAGUAAUCAUCUAAAAAAGAAAUAAAUGACAAUGUUGAGUGGAGGAGGAUGACGAAUUACUUGAUUGUGGAUUCAGGGAUCAUGCAUCAAUUAUGGUUGGAAGUAGAGCAUUGAACAUAUCCUAAAACACAACAAAACUUGGCCUUCAGUGCACUCAUAGCCAACUAUGUAAAUGGCUCUAUGGUGUGCAACAAACAGAACAAAUUUAGUUUGUCUAUUAGUGUCAUACGUUCAUUUCUUCCUGUUACAACCUUUUACUAUAAAAAUGUAUCCAAUUAGUAAUAACAUGUUCUUUUUUAUUGGUAUAGUUGUAAUUUCCUCAUCAUUCCACAGAUUCAUUUUUAGUGGACUAGCCAUGAUUGUCCAUAUGAUUGUUGCUUCCAUCUGCAUCAGCGUUGUGUUCAUGUUAUCAAGUCCAACAAAAAAGGUUUUAUUUGGAGACUAGAGAGUAAGAAAAUGCUUUAGUAACACAAAUUCCUAUUCCCCGUGACAUUCCACGACUGCAACAUUUUAUUGGCAUUGUAAUUUCAGUUUCUUUUCUAUCAAUGAUUUUGUUGCACUAAUACAUGGUGAGCUUUCCACCUUAAGGUAAGCAAUUUUAUAUUGUUCACCAAUCACCAUAAUUAUUUCUAUUGUUACUUAUAUUCCCUUGAAUGAGCUUAACAGUGUGAUCAGUAUUCCAAUUUCACAUUUACUCUGUAAGUAUAUGAUUAUUAGUUAACGUAUUUAUUGUUGUUCCCCAUAAUAAAUCCCCUUUUAAUAGUUGUUAAUGUUGAUGAUGAUGUUGAAAGUGAAGCAUUGGCAACUCUAUUACUCAGCAAGCUAUGCGAUGGCAUCAAAGUUUCUAUUUUCUCUUGAAAUAAUGAAACAAAUAAUUCUUGAAUGAUAUUGUAUGUUAUUAGGUAUGUAUAACUCAUUCAUUGGUACUUUAUAGGGUAAAUAAAGAAAGUCAUUGUCACUUUCAUAA